rnacentral:rRNA from 1 species
GAUGAACGCUGGCGGCGUGCUUAACACAUGCAAGUCGAACGGGAUCCAUCAGGCUUUGCUUGGUGGUGAGAGUGGCGAACGGGUGAGUAAUGCGUGACCGACCUGCCCCAUACACCGGAAUAGCUCCUGGAAACGGGUGGUAAUGCCGGAUGCUCCGACUCCUCGCAUGGGGUGUCGGGAAAGAUUUCAUCGGUAUGGGAUGGGGUCGCGUCCUAUCAGGUAGUCGGCGGGGUAACGGCCCACCGAGCCUACGACGGGUAGCCGGCCUGAGAGGGCGACCGGCCACAUUGGGACUGAGAUACGGCCCAGACUCCUACGGGAGGCAGCAGUGGGGAAUAUUGCACAAUGGGCGCAAGCCUGAUGCAGCGACGCCGCGUGCGGGAUGACGGCCUUCGGGUUGUAAACCGCUUUUGAUCGGGAGCAAGCCUUCGGGUGAGUGUACCUUUCGAAUAAGCACCGGCUAACUACGUGCCAGCAGCCGCCGCGG